AUUGAACGCUGGCGGCAGGCCUAACACAUGCAAGUCGAACGAGUGGCGGACGGGUGAGUAAUGUCUGGGAAACUGCCUGAUGGAGGGGGAUAACUUCUGGAAAGGGUCGCUAAUACCGCAUAACAUAAGAUGUCCCCAGAUGGGUUUCGCUAGUUGGUGGGGUAACGGCUCACCAAGGCGACGAUCCCGAGCUGGUAUGAGAGGAUGACCGGCCACACUGGAACUUAGACACGGUCCAGACUCCUACGGGAGGCAGCAGUGGGGAAUAUUGCACAAUGGGCGCAAGCCUGAUGCAGCCAUGCCGCGUGUAUGAAGAAGGCCUUCGGGUUGUAAAGUACUUUCAGCGGGGAGGCGUUACCCGCAGAAGAAGCACCGGCUAACUCCGUGCCAGCAGCCGCGGUAAUAC
rnacentral:rRNA from 1 species